ensembl:lincRNA
UGGUAGUAUGGAAUUAACAAAUAAUAUACAAUUUGAAUGAUGUUUAUAUUGUCUUUAACCCACAGAGAUAAUAACAUAAGUCUGAAAACUGCAAUUGGGCCUACUAAGAUCUUCAAGUGCAAUUUCUCUCAAUCUGAAGUCUUUGAACUAUUCCACAAUGAUGUGUCAUGUAUAUGAGGAG